rnacentral:rRNA from 1 species
AUUUUGCGAACGCUGGCGGCGUGCUUAACACAUGCAAGUCGAACGAUGAACCUCCUUCGGGAGGGGAUUAGUGGCGAACGGGUGAGUAACACGUGGGCAAUCUGCCCUUCACUCUGGGACAAGCCCUGGAAACGGGGUCUAAUACCGGAUACGACUACCGACCGCAUGGUCUGGUGGUGGAAAGCUCCGGCGGUGAAGGAUGAGCCCGCGGCCUAUCAGCUUGUUGGUGGGGUGAUGGCCUACCAAGGCGACGACGGGUAGCCGGCCUGAGAGGGCGACCGGCCACACUGGGACUGAGACACGGUCCAGACUCCUACGGGAGGCAGCAGUGGGGAAUAUUGCACAAUGGGCGAAAGCCUGAUGCAGCGAC